CUGUUGUGUGGUAGAGGCUAGAUUACAAUUAUAGUUUGAGGGAUUUGAUGCUGGUGUGUGUGUGUGUGUGUCAUAUGAGCAGCUGCAAUAAUGAUAACGGCUAUGUAAUGAACAGAAGGAAGCAUCAUAAUCUUACGAGAGGAUGGACCUGCAGAGGUAGAUGAUUUUUGUUAGGCUUCUUCUCCUACAGCUACACCUAACCACUCUCACUGUUCUAACUUCGAACCUUUCAAGGUAAAAGGGAACUCUUUCUCUCACUCACACUCACACACAAACACCGCAUUGAGCGCGUUGUCAGAGAUGACAGCAUAUAAAUUACACCCGGUAUCCUACAUGCAUACACAAAGCUGUAGCUGUGGUAAAAUAUAACGAACAUCGGGAGCUUGGUUCGGUUCGUUGCAUGGGGGACUCACUGCAUAUCCAAAAGGCAGAGCCUGUCCCCUGACCAACAGACUAAUUCAUUUGAAUUAGUUCAUGGAUUUAAUCAUCGCCGAUGUCACGAGAUACGUAACGGAUACGGGGAUUAAUAUUACAGGCACCGAGAGUUUACACCGCGCCCGGUGUACUGACAUUCUCCGCAACGACUCGGUAUAUGAAACCGGUGCCUCGGUAACGAGACCGACGGAGAACAUCAGUUAUUUCAGUAAGGCUAUCGUGCCAUUUCGAUAUACCAUGGUUCCGGGAUUUGAAUAGGUAGGCUAUCGUAACGAUACCCACUGGGAGUCAUUAGAACAAAAAGCGCUCCUUUAAUUUUCUACGCCUGCUUCGCGGCAGCAGGUUGGGGUAAUAGCCACCACCACCAGGAUUGCACAAGUCUCCAAUUCACAUGGGCGAAGGCAGGGCUCGGUUCUGCUUUGGUUGGACCCGGGCUCGCUGUCAAGAACAAGACAAAGGUGUGUCGGACCCUGGGAGGGAACCGGAAACGCGAGAGAGAUGGGCCGAACUGUUCGACCAACUGGACCUCAAUAAAGACGGUAAAGUCGACAUCAACGAGCUGAGGAUAGGACUCGCUGCCCGCGGUUUACUUCGCAGUGACGCGGAGGAGACAGGCUCCUGGAUCUCCUCUUCAACAAGGUCACCCUUGAUCCAGUGCCGUAUGUGGGGAAGAUGUGCGAGCUGUCCAUCCCAGAACCCGUCUGCCCAGUGUGAGAGGCCUGACAAGGAGGAGGCCAUACCUGGAUUUGUCUCCAGCUUCAAUCUUUGGGUUGACUGAAGACAAGUGGGUGACUGAAGUCUGCUUGAUUGAAGCGGGGUACAUGGUCCCCCUCCUCUCCCGAUCCCGUCCCAUCAAUCUCUGUAGUUGGUUGCAUUUCCCAAAGUCUAAGUUAUUUAUAUGAUAUCACAUUUUCUUUUAUAUCAUUUUUUCUAACAUUUGGACGGGAGAUGAGAGUUACAAAUUGUAAGACUCAAUGGGGUCCUGCACACUGUAGGGCAGCAGGGUGCCUAUAUUGCGGCUUAUGGCUCUAUUUUAAUUUUUUUAUGACAAAUGAUGUCUCACCAUUAUUUCUCAUGAAUGUCCAUGUUGAUCAAUAUUUCAGAUAUGCUUGCCUAAUGUAAAUUAACAAAUAAAUGUUUGAUCAAUACAUACAAUUCUGAACAUAUUGUCAUUUAUAAUGCUAAUGCAGAGGCACCAAUCAAUUGUCCAGUACACUUAUUGUAUGCUGUUUUCAUGUACAUUCCCGUAUGUCUACGCUUCUAGGGGGACUCAGACUUGACUAAUUCUGCUGAAGAAGUGUAUCAGUGAA
ensembl:lncRNA